AGAAAGGCUUUUCUUAAAGCCUUGUAUUUAAAAUAAAAGGUGAUUU
rfam:Ficedula albicollis isolate OC2 chromosome 3, whole genome shotgun sequence.